rnacentral:rRNA from 1 species
UACAGAGGGGGCGAGCGUUAUUCGGAAUUAUUGGGCGUAAAGGGCGCGUAGGCGGCCUUUCAAGUGACGGGUGAAAUCCCUCGGCUUAACCGAGGAACUGCCUGUCAGACUGGAAGGCUUGAGACCGGGAGAGGUGAGUGGAAUUCCCAGUGUAGCGGUGAAAUGCGUAGAUAUUGGGAGGAACACCAGUGGCGAAGGCGGCUCACUGGACCGGUACUGACGCUGAGGCGCGAAAGCAUGGGGAGCGAACAGG